GAAAGUAAAGAGAACUGGUUGCUAGGGAGAAGCCCCUGCUUGUCAGCAACACAGCCAACGCUUGCACAGUGUGUGUAGAAAGUAAAUAGUUGUCAACACCAUCGGGCAGGCCAAAGAAACAAAUUAAAAGGCCUUGUGGAAAAAUAGUUGGCAGAAUUUGUUCUACGUUAUGCCUAUUCAAAAUUUCGAUACGGAUGAAGCCUCGAAGCAUUUCGCCCAUCACGAUUCACAUAGUCACUAUGUGCAGAAA
rnacentral:lncRNA from 1 species